rnacentral:rRNA from 1 species
UACGAAGGGUGCAAGCGUUGUUCGGAAUUACUGGGCGUAAAGCACGCGUAGGCGGCUUGAUAAGUUGGGAGUGAAAUCCCGGGGCUUAACUCCGGAAUUGCUUUCAAAACUAUUAAGCUAGAGUAUGGCAGGGGACAGUGGAAUUCCUAGUGUAGAGGUGAAAUUCGUAGAUAUUAGGAGGAACACCAGUGGCGAAAGCGACUGUCUGGACCAUUACUGACGCUGAGGCGUGAAAGCGUGGGGAGCAAACAGG